rnacentral:rRNA from 1 species
GACGGAGGAUGCAAGCGUUAUCCGGAAUGAUUGGGCGUAAAGCGUCUGCAGGUGGCCGUUCAAGUCUGCUGUCAAAGCCCGGGGCUUAACUUCGGAAAGGCAGUGGAAACUGAACAGCUAGAGUAUGGUAGGGGCAGAGGGAAUUCCAGGUGUAGCGGUGAAAUGCGUAGAUAUCUGGAGGAACACCGGUGGCGAAGGCGGCAUCCUGGACCGGCAUUGACGCUGAGGCGCGAAAGCCAGGGGAGCAAACGGG